rnacentral:rRNA from 1 species
GCGAUGUUUCAUUCAAAUUUCCUGCCCUUAUCAACUUUCGACGGUAGGGUAGUGGCCUACCGUGGUGGUAACGGGUAACGGAGGAUUAGGGUUCGAUUCCGGAGAGGGAGCCUGAGAAACGGCUACCACAUCCAAGGAAGGCAGCAGGCGCGCAAAUUACCCAAAUCCCAACUCGGGGAGGUAGUGACAAGAAAUAACGAUGCUCCGGCCAUCGGUCGGGUAAUCGGAAUGAGGACAAUUUAAAUCCCUUAUCGAGGAUCAAUUGGAGGGCAAGUCUGGUGCCAGCAGCCGCGGUAAUUCCAGCUCCAAUAGCGUAUAUUUAAGUUGCUGCGGUUAAAAAGCUCGUAGUCGGAUUUCGGGUGGUGCCUACCGGUCCGCCUUUGGUGUGUACUGGUAGGCGCCACCUUUCUGCCGAGGACGGGUUCCUGGGCUUAACUGUCUGGGGCCCGGAGUCGGCGACGUCACUUUGAGUAAAUUAGGGUGUUUAAAGCAGGCUUAUGCUCUGUAUACACUAGCAUGGGAUGACACGAUAGGACUUCGGUCUAUCUUGUCGGUCUGUAGAUCGGAGUAAUGAUUAAGAGGGACAGUCGGGGGCAUUCGUAUUUCGUAGUCAGAGGUGAAAUUCUUGGAUUUACGGAAGACGAACUUCUGCGAAAGCAUUUGCCAAGGAUGUUUUCAUUGAUCAAGAACGAAAGUCGGGGGCUCGAAGACGAUUAGAUACCGUCGUAGUCUCGACCAUAAACGAUGCAA